rnacentral:rRNA from 1 species
GGCGUGAUUAUGUGGAGCGUGAGGAGCUAAACACCUUCAUGCCUGCAUAUUCGUGUUCUUUGGGUGUACUUGCCCGCAUGGUAGGUUAACAUCAAUUUCGGGCGCCAUAAAAUGGUUGGAGGAAUGUAGCUUCGACCUCGGUUGAAGUGUUAUAGCCUCCGGCAGAUGUGAUGAACGGGAUUGAGGAUUGCAACGGACCCUUCGGGGCCACCUGUCUGGCCUCUGGUGGUCGCUCUGGUGCCGAAAGCUUGCUUACGGUUAUCAGAGUUGAUUGUCAAAAGGUUAGAACGGGUUAAAUUCGUUAAGGAUGUUGACGUA